UCAAGGGAUAUGGGGACAAGGCAGGAACCGGGUAUUGAUGGUAAUUGAUCAGCCAUGAUCUCAGAUUGGCGGUGCAGGCUCAAGGGGUCAAAUGGUCUACUUCUGCACCUAUUGUCUAUUGUCUAUACUUGAGAAGUUGAAAUCCCCCAUGACACAACCCUAUUAUUUUACACAUUUCCUUAAUCUGAUUACAGAUCUGAUUCCUCAGUAUCCCAGUGGCUAUUAUAGUGCACCCUUCCACCUAAAUGGACAGUGUCUGACCCCUCUAUUAUGUCUCCAAAGAGUGCAGUUGUGAUAUUGUCCCUGAUUAGUAGUGCAACUCCACCCCCUCUUUUACCUCCUCCUCCAUCUUUUCUAAAACUUUGAAAACCUGAUAUAUUAACCACUCAUUCCUGCUCCUCUCUCAGCCAUAUUUCAAUAAUGGCUACAACAUCAUAGUUCUAUGUUCAGAUCCAUGCUUUAAAGUCAUCAUCUUUACUCAUAAUACUUCUAGUAUUAAAAUAUACUCACCUCAAAUUAUCAUACCCAUCCUACCUGUUAUUUCAGUUUCGCCUUUCAAAACUUUUCCUGGUCUCUACAUUCUGAUCCGAUCCUUCCCUUACUGAUCUGGGGCUCUGGUUCCCAGCCCCCUGCAAAACUGGUUUAAACUCUCCUAAAUGACAUUAGCAAACUACCCAGCCAGGAUAUUGGUUCCCCUCCAGUUCAGGUGCAACCCGAAUCUUUUGUACAGGUCACCCCUUCCCCAGAAAAGAUUCCAAUGAUCCAAGAACUUGAAACACUGUCCCCUGCACCAGCUUCUCAGCCACUCAUUCAUACAGGCGAUCAUCCCAGUUUUACCUGCACUAGUCCGUGGCACAGGGAGUAAUCCAUAUAUAUAUCUUCUGCACACCACUGUUGUAUUAUCAAUAUUUGAGUUACUGUCACCUUCCUUGUCAGCUUGACAGGAUGUUUUUUUGUUUUUCACACCAUUUUCUGUAAACUCUAGAGACUGUUGUGUGUGAAAAUCCCAGGAGAUCAGCAGUUUAUGAGAUUCUCAGACCACCCUUUGAGGCACCAACAAUCAUUCCACAGACAAAGACGCCUAGGUAACAUUUCUUCCCCAAUCUGAUGUUUGGUCUGAGCAAAUGAAGCUCUUGACCAUGUCCGCAUGCUGUUAUGCAUUGAGUUGCUGCCACAUGAUUGGCUGAUUAGAUAUUUGCAUUAACAAGCAGGUGUGCAGGCAUGCCUAAUAAAAUGGUCACUGAGUGCAUAUGUGUAUAUUCAAAGAUCCAAAGUGCAUUUAUUACCAAAGUGUGCAUGCAGUAUACAAGCCUGAGAUUUGUCUUCCCGCAGGCAGACAGGAAACAAAGACACACCAUGGAAAGCAACACAUACAAAAUGCUGGAGGAAUGCUGCUGGCCUGGUGGCAUCUAUGGAAAACAGUAAGCAGUCAAUGUUUUGGGCAGAGACCCUUCUGCAGGACAUAGGGUCUCAGCCUGAAAUGUCGGCUGUUUACUCUUAACCAUUGAUGGUGCCUGACCCCCUGAGUUCCUCCAGCCCUUUGUGUGUGUUGCCUUGGAUUUCCAACAUCUGCAGGUUUUCUUGUGUUGUUGAAAUACCGUGGAACCCAUUGAAAGAAAAUAUCAAACACCUAACACGGAGAAAAGAAUAAAUUACGCAAAGAGUAAAAACCAAGCAAAUAACAAGCGGAAUAUUGUACAUCAAACCACAGUGUCAUAGAACAUAGCAACAUAGAAAACUUACAGCACAAUACAGGCCCUUCAGCCCACAAAGCUGUGCCAAACAUGUCCCUACCUUAGAAAUUACUAGGGUUACCCAUAGCCCUCUAUUUUUCUAAGCUCCACGUUCCUGUGAGUCAGUCCUCCCCAAUCAAAACCACACAAAAUAGCAAUAGAAAAGGAGUAGCUAGAAAUCAGAAACCAUGAGUCCAAUCCACAAACUGCUUUGAUCAAACCAAGAUUCCAGACUUGAAAUGAAUUGAAUUGACUUUAUUACUAACAUCCUUCAUAUACACAAGAAGUAAAAGUCUUUAUGUUACGUCUCCGUUCAAAUGUGCAAUGUGCAAUUAUAGUGAUUUAUAAUAAAUAUUAUGUACAACAAGAUAGUCGAUAUAACAUUACAGUUGCAUCAGCAUGAAUUAAUCAGUCUGAUGGCCUGGUGGAAGAAGCUGUUCCGGGCCUGUUGGUCCUGGCUUUUAUGCUGCGGUACCGUUUCCCGGAUGGCAGCAGCUGGAUUAGUUUGUGGUUGGGGUGAUUUGGGCCCUUUUUACACACCUGACUUUGUCAAUGUCCUGAACAGUGGGAAGUUCGCACCACUCUCUGCAGAGUCCUGCGAUUAAGGGAAGUACAGUUCCCAUACCAGCCAGUCAUACAGCCAGUCAUGUGAUCCUACAGAAAGUUCUUAGAAUAUGGGGGGCCAUACCAAACUUCUUCUACCGUCUAAGGUGAAAGAGGUACUGUUGUGUCCUUUUCACCUCACAGCCGGUAUGUACAGACCACGUGAGAUCCUCGGUGAUGUUUAUGCCAAGGAACUUAAAGUUGUUCACUCUCUCAACACCAUAUCUAUUGAUGUCUAUAGGGGGUUAGCCUGUCUCCAGUCCUCCUGUAAUCCACAACCAGCUCCUUUGUUUUUGCGACAUUGAGGGAGAGGUUGUUUUCUUGACACCACUGUGUCAGGGUGAUGACUUCCUCUCUGUAGACUGCCUCAUUAUUAUUUCAGAUCAGGCCAAUCAAUGUAGUGUCGUCGACAAAUUUAAUUAGCAGAUUGGAAGUGUGGAUGGCAACACAGUCAUGGAUAUACAGACAGUAGAGGAGUGGGCUCAGUACGCAGCCCUGAGGGGCAUCCGUUUUGAGUGUCGAGGUGAGGGAUCCCACUCUUACCACCUGUCAAAAAUCUGACAGGAAGUCCAGGAUCCAGCUACAUUUUGUCGAGCCUGAUGGGAAUUAUGGCGUUGAAUGCUGAACUGUAGUCCAAGAGGAACAUUCUCACAUUAGCGUCCCUCUUCUCUAAGUGUUUAAGGACAGUGUGUAGAGCUGUGACUAUUGCGUUGUCUGUUGAUCGGUUAUGACAGUUGGUGAAUUGUAGGGGGUCCAGUGUGGGUGCAGAUGUAGUCCUUGACCAGCCUCUCAAAGCCUUUGCUUCUUAUUGAGGUGAGUGCAACAGGACACCAGUCGUUCAGACAUGUUACUUUGGUCUUCUUAGGUACAGGAGCAAUGGUGGAUGUUUUGAAGCAGGAGGGCACUCUACACGGGGAGAGAGAGAGAUUAAAAAUGUCUGUGAACACACCUGCCAGUUGUGCCGCACACAUCCUGAGUACCCGCCCUGGGAUGCCGUCCGGUCCCGCAGCCUCGUGCUGUCCGCCCGUUGGAAACACCUGCGUACUUAGUCCUCAGAGAUGACCAAGCUGCUGGUCGCAUCGUCUGCAGAUCUCCUCAGGGGCUCAGUAUUGGCGUCAUCGAAUCGCGCGUGAAAAAGAUUUAGCUCAUCUGGGAGAGAGGCAGCGAUGUUGGAAACUCCGCUGCGAUUAGCUUUGAAGUCUGCGAUGGUGUGCAGACCUUGUCAUAAGCUGCAUGUGUUGCUGGUGGAGAGUUGUGGCUGGAUCUUGUCUCUGUAUUGAUGUUUCACUGCCUUGAUGACAUUUCACAGAUCGAGGCUGCAUUUCUUGAGCUCCUGCUGAUUACCGGCGAUGUAAGCUCCGUCUCACGUCGUAAGUGCUGCUCACGUAGAACUGUUGAUCUGGAGUUUCUGGUUUGGAAAGACCCUGACCGAUUUCUGUGGGACAACAGCCUCGGUGCACUUUCGGAUGAAACUCGUGACCCUUACCGUGACUUCAGAAGCAUCCUCAGCUACCUCCAGCGGAGUGAGCAAGAGGGAGAGGGAGACCAGUCAAACACAGGCAUACAGUGUCGAACACCCACUCGCUUUCCACUCUCAACCUAGUUUGAUUUUAGUCUUCACGAGGAAAUCUGCAGAUGCUGGAAAUUCAAACAACACACACAAAAUGCUGGUGGAACGCAGCAGGCCAGGGGGCAUCUAUAGGAAGAAACACUGUCGACAUUUCGGGCGGAGACCCUUCGUCAGGGCUAACUGAAAGGAAAGAUAGUAAGAGAUUUGAAAGUAGUGGGGGGAGGGGGAAAUGCGAAAUGAUCGGAGAAGACCGGAGGGGGUGGGGUGAAGCUAAGAGCUGGAAAGGUGAUUGGUGAAAGUGAUACAGAGCUGGAGAAGGGAAAGGAUCAUGGGACGGGAGGCCCUGGGAGAAAGAAAGGAGGAGGGGAAGCAUCAGAGGGAGAUGGAGAACAGGCAGUGAUGCGCAGAGAGAGAAAAAAACAACUAAAUAUGUCAGGGAUGGGGUAAGAAGGGGAGGAGGGGCAUUAAUGGAAAUUAGAAUUGAUUUUAGUCUUGCUGGACACUCUAAUUAGUAUCAAGAUAGGUGAGAAAUGGAGUUGAUCGUGGACUCGUGCCCUGUCUCCAGGCCACACACCCCACUCCAAACCUUACCAAACUGCCUCGGGGACAGCAAAGCUCCAGCUCACUCAAUCAGCACAAAAAAACACGAUCAAAAUGUAAAUCACAGGUUCCAAUCGCACGCAGCUUAGUAGAAGAAUCAGUUGAAAGAAGAAGUAGUUUUGUGAACUGUCUGAAAGAUGUCAUUGGUCACACUGUUUGGUGGUUUCUGCCUGCGUGUGUGAGGAAAUCCAGGAUCCAGUUGCACGAGGGAGUUAUGAGGCCCAGGUCUUGGAGUUUACCGAUUAGUUUUGAGGGGAUGAUGGUGCGUGUGCGCGUGUGUGUGUGUGUGUGUGUGUCUGUGUGUGUGUGUGUGUGUGUGUGUGUGUGUGUGUGUGUGUGUGUGUGUGUGUCUGUGUGUGUGUGUGUGUGUGUGUCUGUGUGUGUGUGUGUGUGUGUGUGUGUGUGUGUGUGUCUGUGUGUGUGUGUGUCUGUGUGUGUGUGUGUGUGUGUGUGUGUCUGUCUGUGUGUGUGUGUGUGUGUGUGUGUGUGUGUGUGUGUCUGUGUGUGUGUGUGUGUGUGUGUGUGUGUGUGUGUGUGUGUGUGUGUGUGUGUGUGUGUAAGUAUAUAUAUAAAAUCUCUCCUCUCUCCUGUGUGCAUAUGUCUCUCAUUCUCCUCUGUUCACUCCACCCCAGACUAUUCUUAAUAUUAAGAAGCUCUGAAUGAUGGCUGCUGAAAAGUGCUGGAACACUGUGUACUGAAGCAUCAAGUGGUGUUGCCUGUCUGACAUCAGCAAACCAGCCCUCCCUGCUAAUUACUUCUGUCUCCCAGAUACAGCACACCACAGGCUCCUUCAGUCCUUCAAGCCUCACCACCCAGCAAUCCCCGAUUUAACCCUAGCCUAAGCACAGGACAAUUUGCAAUGACCAAUUAACCUGCCAACCAGUAGGUCUUUGGACUGUUACACGAAACUGGAGCAGCUGGAGGAAACCCACAUGGUCACGGGGAGGAUGUACAAACUCCUUGGUAAGAACUGAACGUGGGUCACUUGUACUGUAAAGCACUUUGCUAACCAUUAUACUACUGAGUCGCCCUAGAAUUUUACAGGACAGUACAGGCCCUUUGGCUCACGGAGUUGUGCUGACCUUUUAACAAACACAAAGGUUAAUCUAAUAUUUCCCUCCCAAAUAACCCUCCACUUUUCUUUCAUCUGUGUGACUAUCUAAGAAUCUCUCAAAGAUUCCCAAUGUAUCUGUCUCUACCACCAUUCCUGGCAGCACGUUCCUCGCACUCAUUACUCUGCGUGUACAAAAACCUACUCUCCCUCUUUUCUAGAUCUAGUAUAAUGUCAUUGAAAACCUGCAUUCUUUGAGUUGGGAAAUUAUCCCAGUAUUUUCUCUUUCCUACUGUGAAACUUCCUGGAAAGUACAAGGCCCUGAGCUAAUUCCUUGGAUCCCACAUUGAGCAGAUGUCUCUUGCUGUGCCAGAGAAGCCGCCAGGAGUUUAAAUUUUAACAUGUUCCUGUUUUUCAAGACAGGUUUGUUUUGCCUUCGCCAUCUGUUGUGUGCUGCUAAACUCUCUGACGCUCAAUUGACCUCCCAGGCAACCUCCUUCUCACCAUUGUUCAAAGUUCAAAGUAAAUUUAUUAUCAAAGUGUCACCAUAUAAAACAAAAGAGAUUCUGCAGACACUGGAAAUCCAAAGGAACACAUACAAUACACUGGAGGAACUCAGCAGGUCAGGCAGACUCUAUGAAAAGGAAUAAACAGUUGACAUUUUGGGUCAAGACCCUUCAUCAGGGCUCAUGUCACCAUAUAGACAGAUAGAUACUUUAUUGAUCCCAAACAAAAAUAUUACCUUGAGAUUAAUUUUCUUGCAGGCAUUUAAAGGAAAAUAAAGAAAUACAAUAGGAUUUAUGAAAAAGUAUUGAUAGCAAAGACUGACAAGCAAUCAAUGUGCUAAAGAAGAUGCGUCGUGCAAAUAACGAAGACAAGAUAAUACCAGGAACAUGAGGUGUAGAGUGCUUGAAGGUGAAUCUGCAGGUUACAGAGUCAGAUCAGCAUUGAGGUGAGUAAAGUUAUUCUUGCUGGUUCAAGAGCUUAUAGAAUAAUAACUAUUCCUGAACCUGGUGGCGUCGGAUCUAAGGCAUCUGUACCUCUUGCCCAAUGGUAGUAAAGAGAAGGAAGCAUGGCCUGGAUGGUGCAGGUCCUUGAUAAUAGAUGCUGCUUUCUUGUGGUAGCGCUCUUUGUACCUCUGCUCAGUGAUAGGGAGGGCUUGGUGUGUCAUGGACUGGGCUGUACCGCCUCUUUUGCGAUAUCCACCAUUGUCUGUUCCACUCGCCAUUGGUAGCCAAUCCUUAUACUACUGUGUUAUUUCCUCCCUCUCCAUCUGUCUUAUGUCAAAAUGCUGUUUAUGGAUUUCAGCUUGGCAUUCAACACCAUUGUCCAUUGUCCCACAGACCUUGGUAAAUAAACUUGGUCUAAAUACGCCACAGUGCAACACGGUGUUCGACUUCCCAACCAAUAACCCUCAAGUCGUCAAGAUGCAUAACCACUCCUCCCUCCCCAAAGUCCAAAACUCAGGUGAACCCCGGGGCUGUGUGCUGAGCCCACUGUUGUACACUCCGCUCACAUGUGACUGCAUGACCAAACACCCGAGUAAUUACAUUGUCAAGUUCACCAAUGACACAACGGUGGGGUUCAUCACCAAUAAUCAUGAGACAGCCUACAGAAAGGAGGUUGAAGAACUUGAGGCCUGGUGCGAGGCAAACAACCUCUUCCUUAAUGUCAACAAGACAAAGGAAAUGGUUAUCGGUUUCAGGAGAACUUGCAGCACACAUAUCCCUCUUACAGCAUUACAGUGGAUUCUACGAACAGUCUUAAACUCCUGGAAGUGCACAUCACAUUACGACCUCUCAAGGUGCCAGAACACAUUCUGCACAGUCAAGAAAGUUCACCAACAUCUCUACUUUCUGAGGAGGACUAUGCACAUCUGUACCCGCAUCAUUCUACAGAUGUGCAGUAGAGAACGUCAGAACACGCUGUAUCACUGCAUGGUACAGAAACUGCACUGCGAUGGACAAAAAGUUCUACAAUGGGUCAAAACCACCCAGUGCUUCACUGGCCCCAGCCUACCCGCCAUCAUGAACAUCUAUACAGAAGGGUGUUGGAAAAGGGCAAAUAACAUCAUGAAAGAUUCCUCCCACCCGGGAGGAGGCAACACAACAUCCAUGCCAGGACCACCAGACCCAAAAACAGUUACUUUCCCCAAGCAGUAAGGUUGAUCAACACCCCCAUUCACUAGCUCAAGCCUCCAUACCACUACAUUAUCAUUUUCUAUCAAUCACCUUAUGUACUAGUGUCACUUUAUGGACAUGCAUUCAAGCCAUGUAUAUAAGCUAUCUAAUAUAUUUAUAUUUAUUGUAUUUUUAUUAUUAUGCUCUUUAUCUGAUUAUAUUUUGUGCUGCCAAUGUGUUGAACUCCCUCGCUGAAGGCCAUGUCAAUAUUCAUUUCAAGAGGACUUGAAUGUAAAAUGAAGGAUAUAAUGCUGAGGCUUUAUAAAGUAUUGGUCAAACCACACUUGGACUAUUGUGAGCAGUUUUGCACCCAAAGGGUGUGCUGGCAUUGGAGGGAGUUAAGAGGAGGUUCACGGAAGUAACAUAUUUCAUGAAUUUAGAAGAGUAAGGGGAGAUCUCAUUGAAACAUAUUGAGUGUUGAAAGACCUAGAUAGAGUGGACAUGGAGAGGAUGUUUCCUCUGGCAGGAGACUCUGGGACCAGAGGACACAGCCUCAGCAAAAAGGGAUGCCUUUUUAGUACAGAGAUGAGGAGCAGUUUCUUUGGCCAGAGUUUGGUGAAUAUGUGGAAUUCAUUGACGUAGAUGGCUGUGAAGGCUAAGUCAAUGGGCCUAUUUAAAGCAGAGGUUGAUAGGUUCUAGAUUAGUAUGGGCGUCAAAGGUUACAGGGAGAAGACAAGAGAAUGAGGUUGAGAGGUAUAAUAAACCAGCCAUGAUAGAAUGGCAGAGCAGACUUGAUGGGCUAAAUAGCCUAAUUCUGACUCCUGGGUCUUAUGGUCUUACUCUAUUUCUUUACUUCAUUCUUCAGGACACCCUUACAAGCUAUGGGCCAUCUGUGUUUGAACUAAAGCCUUUGGUGCUGUCUGUGUGGAGUUCGCACAUUCUUCUUGCCAGCAUGUGGAUUUCCCCAGGGCGCUCUGGUUUCAAAACACCUUCCAAAGAUGCUGAUUGAUUAAUUAGCCACUGUGAAUUGUUUCUAGUGUGCUAGAAGGACAAGUCUCCCAAAGCCCUUAUGAUCGAAAGGAGCAAGGUCCUUUCUCAUGAACAAGGAGACUUCUACAAAGUAGAUCAACUGUAUAACUAUACAAGGACAAAGGUGUAUUAAUGAAGAAAUGGAGCUCUCGAUUAUGUCUACCAGUGAGCAAACAUUUGAGAAUUUGGACACACGGAUAUAAUAUUUAGGUUUUCGACUGUGCAAAGUGGAAAGAAUAAAAGAAAAUAGAGUAGCAGAUGAUACCAAUGGAUCAAAGCUUCUUAUCACUGCUUUCUAUGACCUGAAAUUUGUUGUUUUGCAGGAGCAAUAAAGUGCAAAAAUGUAAAAUUACUAAAAAUUUCAAAAUACUCUCAGUAGAUUUGUUAUUAGGCAAACUUGUACACCUGCACGUUAAUGCAAAUAUCUAAUCAGCCAAUCAUGUGGCAGUAACUCAAUGCACAAAAGCAUGCAGAGAUCAGAAUCAAGUUUAACAUCAUUGACACGUCAUGAAAUUUGUUGUUUUGCAGCACUAGCAGAGUACAAUAAAAAAUAUUACAAAUUACUAUAGGAAAUAUAGAUACAAAUUAAAUAAGUUGUGCAAAAGAGAGCAAUAAAAGCUAUGGUGAGUUAGUUUACAUGGAUUCAUUGUUCAUUUAGAAAUUCAAUGGUGGAGGGGAAGAAGUUGUUUCUGAAACACUGAGUGUGUGGCUUCAGGCUCCUGUACCUCUUCCUUGAUAGUGGCAAUGAGAAAGGGGCAUGUCCUGACUGAUGAGAGUCCUUAAUGAUUAAUGCCCUCUUUUUGAGGCAUCACCUUUUGAAGGUGUCCUCAAUGCUGGGGAGGUUGGUACCCAUGAUGGAGCUAACUGAAUUUACAACUUUCUCCAGCUUCUUCCGAUCCUGUGCCAUGCCCCCCUCCAUACCAAGUGGUGAUGCCACCAGUUAGAAUUCUCUCCAUAGUGUACUGUAGAAUUCUGCGAGAGUCUUUGAUGUCAUAUCAAUAUUCCUCAAACUCCUAAUGAAAUAUACCUACUUUGUAAUUGCAUCAAUAUGUCUAAGGAAGUAAAAGAUAGUAUCAAAUUAAAAGCUCAUAUGUACAAAGUGACAAAGAGUAGUGGGAGACUGGAGGAUUGGGAAAACUUUAAAAAGCAACAAAGAACUAAACAAGAAAUAAGGGAAGGGAAGAUAGAGUAUGAAAAUAAAUUAGCACAAAAUAUAAAAACAGAUAGCAAAAGUUUUUAUAAAUAUAUAAAGCGGAAAAGGGUGGCUACAGUCAACGUAGGUCACUUGGAAGACAAGAAGGGGAAAUUGAUAUUGGGUGAAAAGGAAAUGGCUGAGGCAUUGAACGACUAUUUUGUGUCAGUCUUCACGGUGUUGGACACGUCUAAUAUGCCAAAGAAUGAUGUUAUGGACAAAAUGGGAGGUGAGGACCUCAAUAAAGUCACUGUCACUAAAGAGAUAAUGAUGAGCAAACUUGAGGGUCUGAAGAUUGAUAAGUACCCUGGUUUUGAUGGGAUACAUUCCAGGGUACUGAGGUAAUUGGCGGAGGUUAUAGUAGAUGCGUUGGUAAUCAUUUAUCAAAACUCUCCAGACUCUGAGCAGUUCCUAAUGGAUUGGAAGAUAGCAAAUGUCAUGUCACUUUUUUUUAAAAGGAUGUAGGCAACUAUAGGCCAGUUAGCUUAACAUCUGUUGUUGAGAAAAUGCUUGAAGCUCUCAUUAAGGAAGAAAUAGCAAAACAUUUAGAAAGGAGUGGUUCCAUUAGACAGAUGCAGCAUGGAUUCAGAAAGGACAGGUCCUGUUUGACAAACUUACUGGAGUUCUUUGAGGACAUAAUGAGUGUACUGGAUAGAGGGGAACAAGUGGAUGUCAUAUACUUGGGUUUCCAGAAGGCAUUCGAUAAGGUGUCACACAAGAGACUUAUAAAUAAGGUACGGAUGCAUGGAGUUGGAGGAAAUGCAUUGGCAUGGAUAUGGAUUGGUUAACCAAUAGAAGGCAGAGAGUUGGUAUAAAAGGGUGUUUCUCUGGUUGGUAGUCAGUGGUGAGUGGGGUGGCGCAGCUGUUUACCAUUUACAUUGAUGAUUUGGAAGAAGGGACUGAGUGUAGUGUAGAAAAAUUUGCCAAUGACACUAAACUGAGCGGAAAAGCAAAUUGUAUAGAGGA